CAUGGGGUUGCAGAACGCCAGAGACUCCGGUGAGGAGCAGGGAGCCUGAAAGAGGGGAAGACAUCCACAUGGAGAGGAUUACUCUGAGCAGCAGUUUGCUGAUGUGUAAUGUGAUGAGCAUCAAACUGAAAGUAGGCCACAAGCUGAGCAGGGAAACCUGAAAAAUGCUACAAAAUUCUUUCCUGAUUAAUUCCGAGGCUGAACUCACCAGACAUGAUGGCUGAGAUGAAGAGAGGAUCCCUGGAGAAGACCUGUGGGACUCCACAAGGCUGUUCUGCCUCAGCAAAAUGGCCAAGAACGAAAUUUGUGCAAAAGUCUCCAAAAAGUCUCAACACAAAGGUUUUACAGCAUACAACAAAGCAUGCAAGAAUAUUGUGAUACAGCUGGAUCCAUUUUAGUUUGAGAUUGUCUCCCUCCAUGCCUACUAUUUAAAACCCCAAGAACUCAUUGAUUUGACAAUGAUUUGAUUGCGCGUUACUUUCAAUUUGAAUAUUCAGAGGCAAGGACUUAAAUCGCUUUAUUCAAUAAAAAGCAACAGCAGGGGCAUAGAAUAAGGUCCACUUUAAUGUAAUAUAUUAGUAUUUGACACUUUGACCCUCAAAAAAUGCACUUUUAUUAAUUUUAUCCUCCUUUUUCAAUAUUAGAGCAUCACAGCCCUUCAUUAAGC
ensembl:lncRNA